GGAACGGUUGCAACAUAUUUCAACUGUGUCAGGCUCUCAGCGUUCGCUCGUCAAUUACAGAACGAAGGAGGAUAUGAUUUUGCAUCGUAAGGGGUUUUUGUUCGUUUCGAGCAGCGGCUGCAGUCUUGCGUCCCGUCAGGUAUAAGGGUACAAGUAUCAGUUCGAGGCUGGUGUUGGUUCUGCUAAUUUCAUUAUCGUUUUUGCAGGCCAUGAAAGAACAAAGCAAGAUAUCAUUUUGCGUCGUAAGGGGUUUUUGUAUGUUUCGAGCGGCGGCUGCAGUUUUGCGUCCCGUCAGGUCUUACUUUGUUGAACAGUAAGCUGGGUGAACCAAAUUUGUUGUGCGCUUCAGAGACGUCGCUUUCGCCGAAAUUCAGUGAAUUUUGAAGGCCACCGGUAUCGUGGGUCACCAGAAGAACUCAGACCGCAACCGGUCAUUGACUGUAUUGUGCGACGCGACAGUGUGGCAUAAAUCAUGUGUACGUGUGGAAUACUUCACUACUGUGUGCGCGGGAUGUUUUGUA